rnacentral:piRNA from 1 species
UAAGUAUACUAUUUAUAUGGGUCCAUCUU